UGCGGAAGGAUCAUUAAUGAAUUUUAAUGAAUGGGGUUG
rnacentral:rRNA from 1 species